rnacentral:rRNA from 1 species
CAUUACUGAGUUUACGCUCUACAACCCUUUGUGAACAUACCUAUAACUGUUGCUUCGGCGGGUAGGGUCUCCGCGACACUCCCGGCCUCCCGCCCCCGGGCGGGUCGGCGCCCGCCGGAGGAUAACCAAACUCUGAUGUAACGACGUUUCUUCUGAGUGGUACAAGCAAAUAAUCAAAACUUUUAACAACGGAUCUCUUGGUUCUGGCAUCGAUGAAGAACGCAGCGAAAUGCGAUAAGUAAUGUGAAUUGCAGAAUUCAGUGAAUCAUCGAAUCUUUGAACGCACAUUGCGCCCGCCAGCAUUCUGGCGGGCAUGCCUGUUCGAGCGUCAUUUCAACCCUCAAGCUCUGCUUGGUGUUGGGGCCCUACAGCUGAUGUAGGCCCUCAAAGGUAGUGGCGGACCCUCCCGGAGCCUCCUUUGCGUAGUAACUUUACGUCUCGCACUGGGAUCCGGAGGGACUCUUGCCGUAAAACCCCCAAUUCUCCAAAGGUUGACCUCGGAUCAGGUAGGAAUACCCGCUGAACUUA